UACGGAGGAUCCGAGCGUUAUCCGGAUUUAUUGGGUUUAAAGGGUGCGCAGGCGGGAGAUUAAGUCGGCGGUGAAAUUUUGCAGCUCAACUGUAAAAGUGCCUUCGAAACUGGUUUCCUUGAGUGUGGAUGAAGUAGGCGGAAUUUGUGGUGUAGCGGUGAAAUGCAUAGAUAUCACGAGGAACUCCGAUUGCGCAGGCAGCUUACUAAACUACUACUGACGCUCAUGCACGAAGGCGUGGGGAUCAAACAGGAUUAGAUACCCU
rnacentral:rRNA from 1 species